GACGUAGGGAGCGAGCGUUGUCCGGAUUCAUUGGGCGUAAAGCGCGCGUAGGCGGUUUGGUAAGUCGGAUGUGAAAACACGAGGCUCAACCUCGUGCGUGCAUCCGAAACUGCCCGACUAGAGGUAGGUAGGGGAGAUCGGAAUUCCUGGUGUAGCGGUGAAAUGCGCAGAUAUCAGGAGGAACACCGGUGGCGAAGGCGGAUCUCUGGGCCUUACCUGACGCUGAGGCGCGAAAGCUAGGGGAGCGAAC
rnacentral:rRNA from 1 species